GGGGUUGUGGCUCAGUGGUAGAGUGCUUGCCUAGCAUGUGUGAGGCAACAGGUUUGAAUCCUCAGCACCA
rnacentral:tRNA from 1 species